AGAGCUUGGACGUGGAGAUUCUGUGACCAAGCUUCACUGCGACAUGUCGGAUGCAGUGAAUAUUUUAAUGCAUGCUGCUGAAGUUACCAUUCCUCCGCAUCAGCUCACUGAAAUAGAAACAUUGAGAACUAUCCACGCUGCCCAUGAUCAAGGGGAGCAUUUUGGUGAUAUAGAUUUGGAUCUUCAAAAUGUUGAGGACCACUUGGACAUGAAAGAGAAGGUCAGUUCACAACAAGAUAAGAUUGCAUUACAUGAUGAAGGUUCACUCUUAGGUUUGGAAAAUGCCAGAUCCUGUAUAGAGCCUGAGGAUCAUACUUUUCACUGUGAUGUUUAUGAAAAGCAAAGUGAGAGUGCCAUUGCCUCUGCUGCAUCUGAGAAUGCAAAUCCCUCAGACAAUAGAACUGAAACCGGUGAAUAUACUUCUGUUUUGUCUUCUGAAUUUGCUGAACUCCCUGCAAGCUGCAAGGAAACAGAGGAUCCAGAUGUGACAAGAGUUGAUAGCGAUUGUUGUGACACAUUAGGCCUUAGACAUAAGGAGAAAGGUUACUCUGCUGUGGUCACUGAUACUGAAAACUUUGCAGGGGAAGAUAACAGCUUUGACAAACUGCAAGAUGUCAAAGGUCAUGAAACAUGUGGAUUUUCUUGUCUGACAUUAGAAAAGAAAAUUGACCCCGAUCCAUUGAGGGAAGCUACAAAAGAUGGGAGAGAAACUCAUGGUAGAAGAACAAAUGGUUUGAAAUCAAAAAAGGGCUUUAAAUCUAAGUUGAAAAUAUUGUCAAAAGCCAUUCAAUUGGAGGAAGAACAGGAAAUUGAAGUAGGGGAAAAUGGUGAAAUAAUUAAAGAGGGUGGAUUGAAAGCAUCAGAGGGUGGUGCAUUAUGGGAUAUUUUUCGGAGACAAGAUGUAUCUAAGCUCCAAGAAUACCUAAAGAAACACCAUAGGGAAUUCAGACACACUAAUUGCUCUCGGGUAGACCAGGUUGUCCACCCUAUUCAUGAUCAAACUUUCUACCUGAAUACAAAUCAUAAAAGGAAGCUGAAGGAGGAGUUUGGAGUUGAGCCAUGGAGUUUUGUGCAGAAUCUUGGAGAGGCAGUUUUUAUACCUGCUGGAUGUCCCCAUCAAGUAAGAAAUCUUAAGUCAUGCAUAAAGGUUGCGCUUGACUUUGUUUCUCCUGAAAAUAUCCCUGAGUGUGGCCGUUUGACUGAUGAAUUCCGCACUCUUCCCCAUAACCACAGGUCUAAGGAAGACAAACUUGAGGUUAAGAAAAUGGCCCUUCAUGCAUUAAGCGUGGCUUCAGAGGAAUUGGAGCAGCUCCAAGAUGAGUAGCUGUUGAGGAUGUUCUCAUGGUAUUUAACUUUUUAAUUUAUUAUCCUUUUGUUUUUGGUUCCUAUUCCAAGGAGCGGAUGGAGUCCAGGUUUCUUACAAAUUACUUGUAAAUAGAAUCUUGUCCUUGGAGGUCUUUGCCAUUUUGUACAGCCAAGGAACACCGUUCUCAUUGAAAACGAAGUAUCAACUGCUUAUCUCUUAAGCCUAUAUGUUCUCCACUGUAAGAAAUGGGAUGCUGGUUCAAUUUGUGGCUUCGAAUACUAAAGAUGAUUAUAGAGUUAUUAGAAAGAUGGGUUUGACAAACUUGGAAGUGAUUUGUUUU
rnacentral:misc_RNA from 1 species